AGGACGAACGCUGGCGGCGUGCUUAACACAUGCAAGUCGAGCGGUAAGGCCUUUCGGGGUACACGAGCGGCGAACGGGUGAGUAACACGUGGGUGAUCUGCCCUGCACUUCGGGAUAAGCCUGGGAAACUGGGUCUAAUACCGGAUAUGACCUCCUAUCGCAUGGUGGGUGGUGGAAAGAUUUAUCGGUGCAGGAUGGGCCCGCGGCCUAUCAGCUUGUUGGUGGGUAAUGGCCUACCAAGGCGACGACGGGUAGCCGACCUGAGAGGGUGACCGGCCACACUGGGACUGAGACACGGCCCAGACUCCUACGGGAGGCAGCAGUGGGGAAUAUUGCACAAUGGGCGAAAGCCUGAUGCAGCGACGCCGCGUGAGGAUGGACGGCCUUCGGGUUCGUAAACCUCUUCCAGCAGGACGAAGCGCAAGUGACGGUACCUGCAGAAGAAGCCGACGGACUAACGUACGU
rnacentral:rRNA from 1 species